ensembl:lncRNA
GGGGGGGGAAGAAACCAAUGAAGCAGUUUUCUUUUUGAGUUGGGCCUAACUCCAGGCUGCUCCCUGUAAGUCUGAAAAAUCAACAGAACAAAAGACAAGAAAGAAAAAAAUGCAACCAUUCUUCACUGACAGCCAGGUUUCGUUUAGGAACUUCUGUAGAAUAAUUCAGGUCAUCGGAAUGAUCAUUGCUAUAAAGAGGCAGUCAGGAUUUUUUUCCAACACAAAAGUUUAUCUCAAUGGUGAAUGUCUUGCAAUCCACCUGCCAACCACUUCAGAUUGGUGUGAAGGUAGAGAAGCUGAAAAGCAAGUUCUUCUUUUAGUAUGAUAGUAACUCCACUAUCUUCAGUAUAUCAUGUUACAGUUCCUUAGGAUUUAAAUCCUAAUGCCCAGUAAAAAAAUAAAAAGAGUAGUAGCACAAUUUUGCUUAGCUUCUUUUACUGUUUAUCCAUGUUGUGCAAUUGGCACAGGUUUCCACUUAGCUCACCAUCAGCCAUGGUGGUAAUGCUAAACAACUCUCCUGACAAAUCUCCCCUCAAGGGUUUGGGCAGAAAAUAAUCUCUUGUGAUAAAAUCUCUUUCCUUUUAUCACGGUUCUGACAUCAAUUAGGGCUUUCUGCUACUAUGUUUAUUAUCCUACCAAGAUGGCAGUUCUCUAAUGGACUAACAAUGGCGACCAGAUCAAUAGAGUAUUUCACAUCUAACUACAUCUUUCAUAUCACUUAAUUUCAGUAUCACAGGGAUUUCUUCUACAAAUUUCAGAACAAACAAAUAUAUAGUACUGACAUGGAGAUUUCUUUCACUUUUUUAGUCUUAGUAUGAUCAUCUAUUUUUAUAUAUAUAAAUAUAUAUAAAUCACAGAUUUUAACUUCUUAAUUACAAGCUCAGGGUUGACACUUCUUUGUAAAAAAAAAAAAAUGUUUGGUCAACCAGCUCUUCUGCUUUUGUGCUACUCUGAAAAGCAACUCUUUAAUGACUAGUCAGCACAAAAAUCAAAGAAGAGAAUUUUUUACAUAUCCAGUUGUCCAUUUCUUAACAGAUUUGCGGAGUCGGGGAGAAAAUCUCUCUCAUCUCUAUGUAUUCGUGUGAGCAUGGAAGUUUGUGUGAUAGGCCUAGAGAAAGACACGGAUGUUAUUUGUGAUGGCAAAUGUACUCUCAGAUUCUUCAAGGAUACAUUGCUUUAAUAAUCAUUGCCUGAAUGGCUGUGGUCCUGGCUAGAGUUUCCUCAAUUUUUAUCUGGUCGCAAGACCUGAGAUGGAAGCUAUUUAAAUUCUAGACAAAUGAGAGUAAACAGUUAGAUAUCAAAGACUUCCCUCCUCCGUCAGCUACAGAAAAAGAGCUUCUGUGACAAUUCUGUGUGGUGCUGAAAAGAUUCUGCAGAAGCUUUUUUCCUGAUUCUUUUGGUGACUCUAGAAAUGGUGUAGAUAAAUUACGGAAAUACAGUAAAGCCAGCCAACCACAUUACAAUUUAACAACAGAGCAGGUAGAUCAUAACUAUUGCAAUCUCUUUUUCUUGUCAAAUUAUAAUUAGAUAUCGAUUUAGGCACGACAUUAAAGUACAAAACAUAGCACAUGAGGAUAAAGGAUGCUUAAGCACUUUUACCAAAAAGUAUUUACGAACUAUCUGUAUAGUCUGUCUAAUAAAAAUGCAUAGGUUUUGAGCCACUCAUAAUCCAUUCUUAUUGUUUCUAAUUUGUUUACUUUGCAGCGUAAUGAUCUAUUCUUCUUGGUCCAAUCUAGUGUGCAGAAGUAACUGGAAUAGGUUCAGAUCAAGGAUGUCUUACACCAGACUUAGCAGUGUUUCUUGCCACUCUGAUAGCUCACUCUAGAGAGGAUCUCAUGAUUCAGCAUUCAAUGCUUUCAGGAAGUUAAACAGUAUUAAAACCAAUUCUUACAAGCUUUUGUUUUGCUUUGGUUUGUUUGUUGACGAUGGUAUAGCAAACACCAAGCAGAGGAUCUUCCUUUUUAUUUUUCCUGAACUUGCGUAUCAUCUUCUACAAAGAGGGAGUUCUUUGGUCCGCCUCUACCUACCAAUGUACACAUCCUUUUCAUGCCAUUAAUCCUCUACAACCUUGUUUUAUUGUCCCACUGUGUUCCUAUUCAGUGGAAACUGGUACUAUUUCCUUCUGGUUAUCCUUGUUCUGGAAGUUUAUCAACAGAUAAUGAAAUCCAGCUUCUAAGGCAUUUCCUCCACUGUAACUUCUCCACACUGCAGAUUAAGAUGCUGAUGGAUUCCUAGGAUCUGUGUUAACCUUGGCCUAGGUUUAGGCAAUCUGAUGACCAAAUUGGGUAUACAUUGUGCUUCCAGCUAUUUAUAGAUCUCUGGAUCAUGGGCAAGGAGUAAGAGGAAUCACCAAGAACAAGGGGCUUGCUAAAGGCUGCUCUCAGCGGGAGAGGAGGUAAAUGUUCUAGCAAGGACUUUGUAGGAGAGACCCUGCUCUCCUUGCACUGUAUUUUACAAACUGCUGGUGAAACCACGAACCCAGCUAAUCUCUGCUGAAAUGUGAUUGUUUCGUGGGAGUUCUGUCAGAAAUGUAUGUCUUCCUUAUUAUUUCUCUGCUUAUUUUCGUACUAUGCAUGGUGAUAUCUUGUCAGGAGAUGGAGAUCCCUUUGCAUGAGGUAUUAGGCAUACAUUUCUUUAAUAGUCCCAGAAGGUUGAAUAUUCUCUUUAUGCACUGCAUUUUCCUGAGAUUAAGAGAGCUAUUAAAUCCACAGACCAAAUGAAAUUGGGAAGAAAGGAAAGAAAAGAAAAAAAACAGUAAUGCUCAUAAAUGUGAGAAUCUACAUAAUUUCCAAUGCUUCUGUUUGUACCUCCUUUACAUCCAAUAACUCUUCUUUCAAGGUAAUUUUUUUGUGUGCUGCAAUUCAAAUAUUUCUCUUCUGCCAACAGCUGAUAAAGUAAGGAAUAAUAAAGAAGACAAUUACCCGCAUAAGAAAGAGGACUAGUUCUAAGGAAAAAUACUUUAACUGUAUGAACUCUUUAUGUGGUGCAACCCAGUUCUUGCCAUUUUAUGCUCUUUUAAGGUGGAGGCUCUUAAAAAAUUAGAUGCAACGAAUGAUAUAACCAGAGCUAGAGAUCUUUGUGUUAAUAUUAAUUAAAGCCAUUUUGCAUUGUCCCCAAAGUUUUAGUGUUCAGUGUACAGCAGAUUUUUCUAUUAAUACCGCAGUACACACUUCUGUAGCUGCAGUGCAGACUGUUUGAGGUCUGGCUACAACUCAAGCAUUUCAGAAAAGGCAGUUGGAAAGGGAGGGUAGAAAUUUCCUGCUGAACAGUAAUAACAGUAAUAACCUGUGCCUGAGGGUUCCAGUAAGGGCUGAUCUAUCCCAGUUCCCUAAAAGCAUCAGAGAGCUCUGUCCAGAGAAAGCUCCCAAAAUCUGAGUGUCAGUCAUACAAAUCAUCCCAGUUCUGUGUGAUUCUAGGAAGCAUCGUUACAGCUGUGCCUUCCCGCAGCUGUGUGAACCAGUUUGAGCUGCUUCCAUGUUAAGAUGGCUAUGAACUAGAGCUGCUGCUGGGAGAUGGGCUGCGCGUAGUGUCUCAAUGGGCAGCAGUUGCCUUCAGUUUAUUAAUUGACCCUGAAUCAUUACCAAAUGUAUCUAUACUUAUUCACUAGGACUUUUUUUUAUUACUCCAACGUGAAAAAAAUAAAUUACAGCACUGAUGUGAGUUGUGGUUUUUGUUUUUAAUUCACUUCCAAACAUAAGCCAUCAAAAAUGAAUACAGAAAACUGUAGAAUGAUUCUGAAGUGAAAAUCAUGUUUCUGCAGGUUUCAUUGUGGGAACAAGCAUCUGGACAUAUUUCAGAUAUUAAGAAUAAACUCACAUUUCUAAAACUGCUAGUAUUUAUUUACGAAGCCACAGAUUUUCAAACUUGCUCUAUGAGAAAUAAAAGAGUUAACAACAGUGAGACAUCAUGUAGCAUUGCAAAACCCCUAAUUGCAAAGGGAAAUUGAAAGGCUAAGUCAUAGUUAUGGAUUUAAGAAUAUGGUGUCAAAAUGCAAUAGAACUGUAAUGUAUACUUUCAAGGAAAUCAGGGCAGGUGAUGCACCAAAUAAGGCAGUGUUUCCAUUCCAGCUACUCACACUGGCUGUGGUGACUGCAUUAACAUGUGCUAUUAUGACUCUUGUGAAAAAAUGGUGAUAAAGACCACAGUAAUAUGGUGUGUGAAAGAAAAACAGUAUGAUAUUAACUCUUUUUUCAUCCAUUAAAAAGCAUAGGAGACCUGAUGGAGAACAAAGAACUAUUAUAUUAACUUUAAAAAUAAACUUCUAGCAUCAGGCAAAUGAGAUUAUCUCAGAUUUAUUCUGUCACAAUAUUUUCCAGCAGUCCACUAUAUUCAAAUCUGCUGAACAAUGUAAGUAAGCAGUCACUUGUAGGUUAUUUGUCAGUGUAAUAUGAACGUGAAGCAUUUGAAGAGAACUUGCUACUCCUCUACCGAAAUGACUACAUAGUUUACAAUUCCGAUGGUGUAUCCCAUGCGACUGUUUAGCAAACUGUGUAUUGUUUGAGUGAAAUAACAUCCCUGCUAAGGAAAAUGAGAACUUUGUCACUGACUGCAGAAAAAGAUUUUCACUAUAAUCAGGCUGAGAAAAUAAGUCCUUAUUAUGGAAAUUACUCAUAUUCUAUGCCUUUCUGAUUUUUAGUAAGACAACAAAAUUAUCCAUAUAGAGUUGACGUUAUUGUCUUCACCUGUGUGUCCAAAUUUUACUUCAAAGCAGUCGCAGUUCAUGCCCGUCUUCCCCAGAGCUGAGGUCUCUAUACUGUCGAGAAGGUGAAGAAAGUCACAUGGAUUUGCCCAUAGCUUGAAGUCUACAUCAUUAAAUCAAACCAGUUAAAAAAAAAAAAAAAAAAAAAA